rnacentral:rRNA from 3 species
ACUUAAAUUGAAGAGUUUGAUCAUGGCUCAGAUUGAACGCUGGCGGCAGGCCUAACACAUGCAAGUCGAGCGGUAGCACAGAGAGCUUGCUCUCGGGUGACGAGC